AUUGAACGCUGGCGGCAUGCCUUACACAUGCAAGUCGAACGGUAGAGGGGCAACCCUUGAGAGUGGCGAACGGGUGAGUAGCGUAUCGGAACAUGCCCGAUCGUGGGGGAUAACGUAAGGAACGUUACGCUAAUACCGCAUACGAUCUGAGGAUGAAAGCGGGGACCGAAGGGCCUCGCGCGAUCGGAGUGGAAGAGAGUAGAUUGCGUAGUUGGUGGGGUAAAGGCCUACCAAGCCGACGAUCAGUAGCUGGUCUGAGAGGACGACCAGCCACACGGGGACUGAGACACGGCCCAGACUCCUACGGGAGGCAGCAGUGGGGAAUUUUGGACAAUGGGCGCAAGCCUGAUCCAGCAAUGCCGCGUGCAGGACGAGGGCCUUCGGGUUGUAAACUGCUUUUGUACGGAGCGAAAAGGUCUUCUCUAAUACAGGGGGCUGAUGACGGUACCGUAAGAAUAAGCACCGGCUAACUACGUGCCAGCCGCCGCCGUAA
rnacentral:rRNA from 1 species